rnacentral:rRNA from 1 species
UUGAGGCUCGAAAGUGUGGGUAUCAAACAGGAUUAGAUACCCUGGUAGUCCACACGGUAAACGAUGAAUACUCGCUGUUUGCGAUAUACUGCAAGCGGCCAAGCGAAAGCGUUAAGUAUUCCACCUGGGGAGUACGCCGGCAACGGUGAAACUCAAAGGAAUUGACGGGGGCCCGCACAAGCGGAGGAACAUGUGGUUUAAUUCGAUGAUACGCGAGGAACCUUACCCGGGCUUAAAUUGCAGAUGAAUUACGGUGAAAGCCGUAAGCCGCAAGGCAUCUGUGAAGGUGCUGCAUGGUUGUCGUCAGCUCGUGCCGUGAGGUGUCGGCUUAAGUGCCAUAACGAGCGCAACCCUUGUUGUCAGUUACUAACAGGUUUUGCUGAGGACUCUGACAAGACUGCCAUCGUAAGAUGUGAGGAAGGUGGGGAUGACGUCAAAUCAGCACGGCCCUUACGUCCGGGGCUACACACGUGUUACAAUGGGGGGUACAGAGGGCCGCUACCACGCGAGUGGAUGCCAAUCCCCAAAACCUCUCUCAGUUCGGACUGGAGUCUGCAACCCGACUCCACGAAGCUGGAUUCGCUAGUAAUCGCGCAUCAGCCACGGCGCGGUGAAUACGUUCCCGGGCCUUGUACACACCGCCCGUCAAGCCAUGGGAGCCGGGGGUACAUGAAGUGCGUAACCGCGAGGAGCGCCCUAGGGUA